rnacentral:rRNA from 1 species
UGGGGAAUCUUCCGCAAUGGACGAAAGUCUGACGGAGCGACGCCGCGUGAGUGAUGAAGGCCCUUGGGUCGUAAAGCUCUGUCAUUGGGGACGAACGAUUACGUCAGGAAAUGGGCGUGAAGUGACGGUACCCAAGAAGGAAGCCACGGCUAACUACGUGCCAGCAGCCGCGGUAAUACGUAGGUGGCAAGCGUUGUCCGGAAUUAUUGGGCGUAAAGCGCGCGCAGGUGGGAUCUUAAGUCCAUUUUGAAAGUUCGGAGCUCAACUCCGUGAGGGGAUGGAAACUGGGAUUCUUGAGUAUCGGAGAGGAAAGCGGAAUUCCCCGUGUAGCGGUGAAAUGCGUAGAUAUGGGGAGGAACACCAGUGGCGCAGGCGGCUGUCUGGACGAUGUCUGACACUGGGGCGCGAGAGCCAGGGGAGCUAACG